rnacentral:lncRNA from 1 species
UAUAUAGUUGAUCUAGGAUACUUUUACAAGCAUCAUCCCCAUGUUGCUAUCACGUUUUUAGCCAUUGGAUCUACUUUUUGAAUACAAAUAGCCCUUGGAUCAAACACUAUUCCACCUACCACCAUCUACCACCACCUACCACCAUCAUCUUAACCUCACAUCUCUCCAUUCAAGGGCUAAAAACACACAAGUAUCACUCCCAUGAUACUUUUACAAGUAUUCUAGCCCUACUCUAUAUAUAUAUAUAAGAAUAAUAAAUUUACCGAAUAAUGUCACC